rnacentral:rRNA from 1 species
CACUCCUACGGGAGGCAGCAGUGGGGAAUAUUGGACCAUGGGCGCAAGCCUGAUCCAGCCAUGCCGCGUGAGUGAUGAAGGCCCUAGGGUUGUAAAGCUCUUUCACCGGUGAAGAUAAUGACGGUAACCGGAGAAGAAGCCCCGGCUAACUUCGUGCCAGCAGCCGCGGUAAUACGAAGGGGGCUAGCGUUGUUCGGAUUUACUGGGCGUAAAGCGCACGUAGGCGGACUAUUAAGUCAGGGGUGAAAUCCCGGGGCUCAACCCCGGAACUGCCUUUGAUACUGGUAGUCUUGAGUUCGAGAGAGGUGAGUGGAAUUCCGAGUGUAGAGGUGAAAUUCGUAGAUAUUCGGAGGAACACCAGUGGCGAAGGCGGCUCACUGGCUCGAUACUGACGCUGAGGUGCGAAAGCGUGGGGAGCAAACAGGAUUAGAAACCCUAGUAGUCCCAUG